GUCCUGGCCCUAAACGGUGCGCAUUUGCUGUAAGAGGAAUCGACCCCUUUUGUGGCGAAGCUAACGCGAUAAAUGCGCCGCCUGGGAAGUACGGCCGCAAGGUUAAAACUCAAAGAAAUUGACGGGGGCCUGCACAAGCGGUGGAGUAUGUGGCUUAAUUCGAUGCAACGCGAAGAACCUUACCUGGCCUUGACAUGCACAUAGUAGAAGGGUGAAAGCCUGACGAGGUAGCAAUACCAGUGUGCACAGGUGCUGCAUGGCUGUCGU
rnacentral:rRNA from 1 species